AAAAAGCAUCAAUAUUUUACAAAAAGUGUUUAAUCGCAAAUUUCCGAUUAUUCAUGAAGGAUAUCAUUAUCAGAACAGUUGAAAUAGAUUGUACCUUAGCAUAACCCUUAAUCAUAAGCCCUAAUCAUAUGCAUGAGGAUGAUAUGGAGGAAAACAUACAUUAAAAAUGUGGAUGUAGGCAAAAGCCUGUCCACUGCGCUGAAGAAAUUGGUUUGUAUAUUGAAAUAGUUUACUGACAAAAGAAAAAGUUUCUAAUGUCUGACCUGCUGAGAUGAAGAUGUUAAAAAAGAAAAGCCUACAUAGUGAAUUAAUAUUGAUAGUAUAUCAAGUAAUGCAAAUGAAUCAUCAGCUUGAAUUAUCAGAUAUUUCACAAUUUUUGACCGGUGUAGGCCAACCUGAAGUUAUAAGGACCUAUGUCAAGUGAUAUUGACCCACGGCAUAGAAAGAAAGUAGGAACCAAGCAUGAGAGGUCAUGUCAAUAUCACUUGACAUGGGUCCUUAUAUAAACCACAUUUUGACUAAUACAAUGACAGUGAGACUGUUUUGGCGAGCGCAGAUAUAUAUUUUGUUAUAAUUUAGAUCUGGCUCAUCAAACUGCAUGUGACAUUUGGUGCGUCUAGACUCUGAUGUCACAUGACGUCGUAUAGGCGUUCACCAAUGUCAUUACUAAUGACAAACAGGAGAAACGGAGACAGGAGAUGGAAAGACUGAUCUUCACAGACAGCAGUCAAAACAAAGCAAAAGAAAGCAUUCAAAACUGGAAAUAAGAUAAAAAGCCGUGGAACAUCUAGACGAGUCAUGGACCCCAACAUCUAAAAAGAACUUGACAGAGUGCAUUCGGUUGGACAUAACUUCCCAAGAAGACUGAUGACAAAGACUCAACAAAGAGGGUCAGGCUCCCAUUUUCCUGGGAAUCAACCAGACUGUGCAAGGGAAAAGAGGCACUGGACAAGGCAUA